rnacentral:rRNA from 1 species
UACGUAGGGGGCAAGCGUUGUCCGGAAUCAUUGGGCGUAAAGCGCACGUAGGCGGCUCCUCAAGUCGGAUGUGAAAGCCCUGGGCUCAACUCAGGAAGUGCAUCCGAAACUGUGGAGCUUGAAUGCCGGAGGGGCCCAGAGAAUUCCCGGUGUAGAGGUGAAAUUCGUAGAUAUCGGGAGGAAUACCAGUGGCGAAGGCGCUGGGCUGGACGGUCAUUGACGCUGAGGUGCGAAAGCGUGGGGAGCAAACAGG